GGCUACCAGUUCCUGGGGUGGAACUCAGAGCAGUAUUCCAGCCUCCGCCACCAGUGUCCAUUCCCCACCCCAGGGAGGUGCAGUGGGAUGCGACGUGCCAGGUUCUCCAGUGACAAGCGUGAGGGAAUAACUCGGAACAGCAGCCUGAGCACCUACUUGUCACCUCAACACAUUGCUGGGAAAUUCGGCAGCUCUGCCUGUGGAUGGGCCUCCCCUGAGAUCCCGGCCAGGACUGGAUACCUCACGAGGCAAGGCGGAUGGCGUAGUAUUGAGGUCACACGGAUGGAGUGCUGAUUUCCACCUCGACGGCGGCUCAUGAAAUGUGGACAAGUCACUUAACCUUUUCGUGAGAAUUAAAGCGAUGAUGCAGAUGGAGGGUUUAUAUAGGCCUGGCACACGGAGAAGCAAUAAAUGCCGCUGCUGUUAACUUUUAAGUGUGCUGGCUUCAUCAGGAGACAAGAAUGGCUGUCGAAUUAUAAAGCCCAGAAUAAUGCCAUGGUACCCAGAGGCCAAUGACCUCACAGGGAAGAAGUUUCUUAGAACCACAACACUUUCGGUGCGGUGACUCCUCCUUCAAAGUUACUCAGCAUGUAAUGUUUCCAACAACACUCAAGCAAUGCUUUUCAGGACACCUGGACCGGGUUUAAGUCCUCAUCUGUCUGUGCUGAUUUGACCUGUUGGGACUUAAUUAAUCUCUCAUCAAUUGCGGUCUGAUCUACUCUGCCAAGUCAACUUUUUAAUGAGGCACAUUUCCACAAACAAAUGUUUAAUUUUGACAUCUUCUUUUCAUCCUGGUUUCUCUGUAAAACCAUUUAAGGUUCUGCUGUGUUUUUCCUUUGGCAAAAUAAAUAUUUGUUUUACUGUUGCUAAGAA
rnacentral:lncRNA from 1 species